UACGGGGGGGGCAAGCGUUGUUCGGAAUUACUGGGCGUAAAGGGCUCGUAGGUGGCCAACUAAGUCAAACGUGAAAUCCCUCAGCUUAACUGGGGAACUGCGUCUGAUACUGGAUGGCUUGAGUUUGGGAGAGGGAUGCGGAAUUCCAGGUGUAGCGGUGAAAUGCGUAGAUAUCUGGAGGAACACCGGUGGCGAAGGCGGCAUCCUGGACCAACACUGACACUGAGGAGCGAAAGCCAGGGGAGCAAACGGG
rnacentral:rRNA from 1 species